UCUUUCAUGGUCUAACGGUCAUGAUUUCCGCUUGUCACCAUACAUGACUAUGCGCGGGAGAUCGGGGUUCGACUCCCCGUGAGAGAG